ACGCAUCACUGGUGUUCGGGUUGUCAUGCCAAUGGCACUGCCCGGUAGCUAAAUGCGGAAGAGAUAAGUGCUGAAAGCAUCUAAGCACGAAACUUGCCCCGAGAUGAGUUCUCCCUGACCCUUUAAGGGUCCUGAAGGAACGUUGAAGACGACGACGUUGAUAGGCCGGGUGUGUAAGCGCAGCGAUGCGUUGAGCUAACCGGUACUAAUGAACCGUGAGGCUUAACCUU
rnacentral:rRNA from 1 species